AGUGAUAGCAUAUGGUGUUGGUGUCUUGCUGUCUGACUGACUUCACUUAGCAUGAUAGUUUCUAGGUCCAUCCAUGUUGCCACAAAUGCUGUUCUUUCUUUCCUUUUAAUGGCUGAGUAAUAUUCUGUUGUGUGUAUGUACCACAUCUUCUUUAGUCACUCCUCUGUCAGUGGACAUUUAGAUUGUUUCAAUGUUUCUGUUCAAGCCAUCUUAUUAGAGAGGUUUUUCUGGAGCAGAGACAAUUUAAAAUAGGAUCUUCUCUUCUCCCAUCACUUUCUUCUCUUUUUUCUUUGUACCCCUUAAUCACCACCUUGCAUAAGAUGCAUUAUUUGUUUGUUGUAUCUCUGCCCCUACCAGAAUUGAAACAGAGUCAGGACAUUCACUUUAUGAUGUUUUCCUCAGAACUAUGACACAUGGUAGAGUCUGGUAAUGCUGGUUAAAUGACCUAUUAAAUGUAAUCAGCAAGACUUCUUUUUUACUUCAAACAUCCAAAGUAAAAAACAGAAUGGCUUUAUUGCUUUAAUAAGAAGGAAAGAGGGAAAGAUAGAAAGGUCAGCAAAUGGAGAAUUUAGGAGAGCACUUCAGAAAGAAAAGAAUAAAGACAUAACCAAUGAUUCGGGUUAAACCAAGAAGUUGUAAAUUUGAACUAUGUUUGCUAUGUCAGUUUUCAACUUUACCCAGCAUUUUCAUUUACUUCCAAGACUUCUUCUAUUCAUUUCCUGCUUCCUCUUCUGAAAAGAUUUAGGCUUUAUAAUCCUGAAGUUAAACUGAUACCAUCUCUUUCUUAAAAUGAAACAGAAGCACCACUAACAUGUUUUGGUUGGUGCUAGAAGCCCCUAUUUAGAAAAUUAUUUUUGUGUAUUCAUUUUUAAUAUAGCUUCCAUAUAACAGCUUUUAGCUUUUGAUAUAGAAAAUGCUUAAUGGGAUAGAUCUAGAACAAACUGAUUUGAUACUUGGGACUUUAUGGGAGUCAUAUUUUUGUUCAGAAAAAAAGAAAUAAUGAACUAGAAAAUAUGAAUAAGAGCCUGAAAGAAUGUGAUGAUGGCACAGUGCUGUUUACUUAAACGUCUCUGAAAAUCGCUCUUCCUUUAUUACUAUUUUUGUGAAGCCAAAAAUAUGCCUACCAUUAUAAGCAAUUUAUGAUCCCUAUCUUGUAUAUUUUUAUGAAUAAGAUAGCUAUGUUCCAACUUGCUGUUCUAUUUUUAUUGUGCUGAACUUAGAGUUUUCAAUCUUUCUUUAUAGAAACAGAGAGAGAGAGAUCUUUUGCAGUAUUAGAUAGAUUUAUGCAUUUAGUUUUUCCCAUUAAAGCCAAGGUACAUAUGCGUACACAAUAAAUUAAUCUCCUUACAAAAUACAAUGUGUAUUUCAUAUUAAAGACUGUUCUUUGCUCCUUAACAUUUUAUAUACAUGAUCUCAAAUGUUGUCAGGAGCUUAGAGAAGAAACGAUAAAUAAUUUACAUUUGUUUCUUUCUCAGAGUUAACCUAAUGUCACAGACACAUAUCUUAAUUCCCAUAAUUUAAACUCCAUAUAUCUGUUCAAUAAGACUUCCCCAAUUUGAGUCACGGGAUUGUAUUUUGAGGUAUCGUGAUUAAGAUGAGUUUUUAUUUCCACAGUGAUUCAUGGCAAUGAGGGCAGCUAAGGACAAAAUUUAAUUUCUGAUUUCUCUAGAAGGGAUGAUAACAAUGAAGUGAAUUGUAAUUGAAUUCUGAACAUAAACAAAACACAAAAGAUAAAUUUAGUUUGCCGAUCUGCACAAAUGCAGUACGUUUAGAGUCCGAUACUAUUUUAAUGUUUUCUUUGAGGUGAGAAAAUUACAUUCUUUGAAUUUUUCAAGACUGGAUGUGUUGGUAAUGUCCUGGCCACUUCUGUCUCCAAAUAAAUUUUUAUUGCUUAACUCAUCAUUACUGUAAGGAAACUAUUCAUCUUUACAACCAAAUUAUUUCAGCUAUAACCUGAAUAGAGAUUGGCUAUUUGGUGAUCCUACUUGGGUACUGCUCUGAUAAUUGAAUAUUUUUCUUAUUACUGCCAAACAUAGUCAUUUUGGGGGAUAAACUUAAAAUAUGUAUCUAUUAGGUGCUAAUGCAUAAAAAAAUCAAAUUUAGCCCAGAUUCUGAUUUUUUCCUAAUAAAAAAAGAAAUGUCCUUACUAUUAAAUGUUCUUAGUUAUUAUGAUUAAAAAAAACAAGUUCUUGAGUGGAAUUAAGUGUAUUUUAAAAUAAUAAUAGAAUUAAAGAUUUUAUAGGCUGCACAUUAAAUAAUUAAUGUGUUAAAUUAAUUAAAUCUAACAACUUCAAUGCCUAACCAUCUUACAUAACUUUCCUCUUGCCAAAACAAGAGAAAAUUAUUUGACUUAAUUCUGGAAUUUUCUAUAGAGAAAUUUCUUUUAGAGAAAAGAAUAAUAUACAGAUAAUAUGCCUUAGGACAUUUAAUAAUCAAUUCUUUGUAUGCCCAGCUCAGUAAGUUCUAACAGCUUAAUUCUGUCUUUCCGGGUGUUAGAUAAGUUUCAUCAAUUUUACUUCAAAAUAUUUGCCAUAAUAUUAAUAGAUAAAAUUUCUGGAGAAUUCACUGUACAGUAGACAUGACCAAUAUAUCCUAAAAAGGACCCUCCCUAUAAGGUAGUUGCUAUUAUAUUUCCAUUUAAUAGACAAUAAAGCUAAAUUUAAAAAGUCAAAAACAUAGAGCUGGGGAAAGAAGAAUUUUAAUACCGAUCUGUCUUACUCUAAGCCUAUGCUUAUAACUGCUGGUUAUUUAUUAUGCAUGGAAAUUACAUGUAUUGGUCCCCUACUUAGUAUCAUGUAUUAUGCAGAGUAGAUGGCAUGUUAUUUAUUCCUCCAUAUACUAUAGUACUACAUAAGAGGAACAUUUAAUAACACUAUAGUAUAGAUGGGCAAUCUAUGUUCCAGAAAUCUGAAUUCUUCCAUCCUAGGUAUAUAAUAUAUAACUCUGGAAAAAUGCAUGUAAAUCCUUCAAGAACCAAUUUUUUAGAUACAUGAGCAUUUGGCUCAUGAUUCUCUAACCAAUAAUAUAGCCUCCUCCCACGGGUCUGAAAAUAUCUAUGGGAUUCCUUGGCAGUUGCUGCCAUUGCAUAUAAGACUCUUGUCUGUAAUCCAACACCUAAGUCUUAUGCAGAUUCUCUGCUGGGAAGGAAACAUAAUUAACAGUUUUAUCUUUUCCUUACCCCAGUGUCAGACUCUAAUUUUGGUAAAGCCCUUCCAAAGCUCAUGCUCUUAACCUACGGACUCUGGAGAUAUAUAUGUGGAUCCUUCACCCAAAAUUUUUCAGACGCUUGGUCAAGAUCAUUUCCAAGUUUACCUCCAGCUUUAUUUUUGGUUUAAUGUUUGAUUCUCUAGAGAAACACAAUUGCUUUCACUGAGGCAGUUUUUAUUUGAAGUGGAUGUUAGCAGUAACAUCUUGCUAAAGAAGUAUCCUUCUGUGUGGACUUCAUUUACCUGUAGCUGAAGAAACAAAAUAAAGAGAUAGAAUGAAGAAAUUCUCAACAUCCCUAAAGGCAAAUUUGCAGAAAUGUCUGUUAAGAAAAGACAAAAUCACAAGAGAUUUAUUCAUGCUUUAUAGCUUUGCUUUCUUUUUCUGCUUCUGUGAAGCAGAAGACAUGAUUUAGCAAAGCCAGGAACAAGGGACUUAAAGUACACAGUUCAUCUUGCUCUUCUUAGAGGAAAUCUCCCUAUGGUGCAGGAAGAAGGAUGGGGUGGAAAGGAAAAGCCAAGAGAAAUAUCCACUGUUGAUCUUAACGCCUGACUGCGUGGAAUUCUAGGAAUAUUUCUAGACGUGUCUGCAGAUGCAAGAGAGGACAUAAGAGAGAAGAAAGUUGUUGAAAAUAGAAAGAGAUGCAGACAAAAAAUUAAACUAGAAAAUCCUUAGAAAUUACAGAGAGCAUAAAGAGCCCAAGAGACAUUAAGGUUGAUUAAAUGUAGGCUCUCUUAGUAGAGGAGGAAUAAAAUGAGUGGAGUUACAAAUGGAGAACAUGAUUCCACCAGCAAUAGUUAUAAAUAUGGGAAAGUAACUUAUGAAUCUGGGGUUGAAAUGUGGAGAAAGCAGGGAUAAUUGUGUCCAUAUUGUUCAAGUUAUGUUACUGAGGCUUCACUGCCACCUGGUGGCCAACAUCAACUUUAAUUCUAGCUGCUUCCUGUUUGGGGGGAGGGUUCCAAUACUUUUCUUAAAAAAGACACGGAAAAAGUAGUCAUUGCCAUUCCUUCCCCUACCACCUCUAGUUUGUGCUCACUUCCAUGGUUCCUCUAUUUGUAGGAGCCUAUGCUUAACUCAGUGGGUACUUAAUCUUACAGCAGAGAGCAGAACAUAAUAAGGAUUGUAUUUUGCACUUUUAAUUAUGUGUCAUAGUCUUUUUCCUGUUUAGACAGAUCAGUUCAUCUUUAAUUUUAAAUUUGAAUAUUUUAUUGGCAUCCCUAUAUAGGAUGUUAUGCACUUUAUUUUUCUUGUAAGACAUUCAACAGCCACUUGGCACAAUUUCACUAUUUUACCUCGCAGCAUGAUUGGAUAAGAUGUUUUCUCACAUCUGCUCUGUGCUGAAAGGGUCAGUCAAGUGACUCUACAGUCCCAAACCCUGAAGAAAUUUUACAUUGAGAGGGAUGGAAAGAGGAUGUAGAAAAAAAAAGAGUAAAAGGGAACUUCUUGCAGCUUAGGUCUUUGUUGAUUUGGACUCAAAGCCUUGGAACUUGAUACCACUCUGGAUUUACAGAGCUACUGAAUAUUUAGAAUGACUUGUCUCUGUAGGUUUUGCCACCAUUGUUAAUCACAUUGCAGGAAAUCUGCCUUCCCAGUGUUAAUGGGACAAAAUCACCAGUUAAGUGAAAGCAUUUGGGAUAACUAAAGAAUCUCAAAAUCAUCCAUCUUACUCUUUUGCCUUAAAGCAAUAGGAAGCAGAUGUACAGACCUCGACUAAUGUAGUCACAGGUUCUGAAUUCUCACCUCUUCCUUCCUGAUUAACGGGCUCAUCCAAUUAAUUCAUGACAGUGUCUGCUUCCUGAACUCUGACAAUCAAACACAAUUGAAGCAUAAGCAAAUGUAAAGUAGAUAUGAGUUUCAACAUCAUCUUCCACUUCACUAAUUUCUUUUUAAAAUUUUAAUAGCUCUCUUUGAAGAGUUCUUCAUGGGACCCCAUUUCCCCCUUAAUAAAUGGAAGAAGCAUGUAACUGUCAAGACAAGGGAAAAGUCUGGAUGUAAGGAUUAAGCUCUCAUUGUUACGGCAGAUACCCAGCAGCCCUGCGCUGCAGCAUAUCCGCUCUGGCGACAGCCCCCUGGCUGUAGUGUACCAGCUCCAGCAGCUCUGUGGCUGCAGUGGAUCAACUCUUUUACCCAGCAAGAAACCAAGGGAGCACUCGGAGAGUUGGAGAACUCAGGUUUAUUACGCAGGCGGGCUCAGAGGAGAUCGCUCUCCAGAGUCUGAGCCCAGAAGAAGGGUUUCACAAGGCUUUUAUGGGCUACGUCUUCCGGGUCCUAGCUUGGCUAGUUGGACUGGAGUGACGUCAGGCAAGGUAGUAGAUGCGGAAACAAAUUUACAGAAGCAGAUGCAUGGGGGAGGACUGGUUGGGGCAGUUGGCUAGACUUUGCUUAGUCAUCAUGGCCGGGGUCUCUCCUUUCUACAUUUUAUUGGGACAUUUUCUCCUACAU
rnacentral:lncRNA from 1 species